rnacentral:rRNA from 1 species
UACGUAGGGUGCGAGCGUUGUCCGGAAUUAUUGGGCGUAAAGAGCUCGUAGGCGGUCUGUCGCGUCUGCUGUGAAAUCCCGAGGCUCAACCUCGGGCUUGCAGUGGGUACGGGCAGGCUAGAGUGCGGUAGGGGAGAAUGGAACUCCUGGUGUAGCGGUGGAAUGCGCAGAUAUCAGGAAGAACACCGGUGGCGAAGGCGGGUCUCUGGGCAGUAACUGACGCUGAGGAGCGAAAGCGUGGGGAGCAAACAGG